GGCCCAGUAGCUCAGCUGGAUAGAGCGCUUGCCUCCGGAGCAAGAAGUCGCAGGUUCGAAUCCUGCCUGGGUCA
rnacentral:tRNA from 1 species